UGCGAUAACUAUUAAGGAAACAGUUGCCA
rnacentral:piRNA from 1 species